AGAGUUUGAUCAUGGCUCAGGACGAACGCUGGCGGCGCGCUUAAUACAUGCAAGUCGAGCGAGAACCAGGGCUUCGGCCCUGGGGACAGCGGCGAACGGGUGAGUAACACGUGGGUAAUCAACCCCCGACACCGGGAUAGCCCAGGGAAACUUGGAUUAAUACCGGAUGCCCCGUCUGGCCUUCGGGCCGGCCGGAAAAGGGUAGCUUCGGCCUCUGGUCGGGGACGAGCCCGCGGCGGAUUAGCUUGUUGGUGAGGUAAAGGCUCACCAAGGCGACGAUCCGUAGCUGGUCUGAGAGGACGAUCAGCCACACUGGGACUGAGACACGGCCCAGACUCCUACGGGAGGCAGCAGUAGGGAAUCUUGCGCAAUGGGCGAAAGCCUGACGCAGCGACGCCGCGUGAGGGAAGAAGGCCUUCGGGUUGUAAACCUCUUUCAGGAGGGACGAAGCCACUCGGGUUAAUAGCCUAGAGGGUGACGGUACCUCCAGAAGAAGCCCCGGCUAACUACGUGCCAGCAGCCGCGGUAAUAC
rnacentral:rRNA from 1 species